rnacentral:misc_RNA from 1 species
AACGCAUCUUGCGCUCCUUGGUAUUCCGAGGAGCAUGCCUGUUUGAGUGUCAUCUAAGUCCUCAAACCACAUUGAUUGUUUUCGGUGUGGUUUGGAUGUGGAGGUUUUUUGCAGGCUUUAGAAAUGAAGUCUGCUCCUCUGAAAUGCAUUAGUGGUAUCUGAGCAGAAGAACUACUACAGGUGUGAUAAUUUAUCUACGCCUUGGUAAAUGCUGCACGAACAGAUUGCACUGCUUCCAACCCAAAAAAUUUAUUUUGGAGACCUCAAAUCAGGUAGGACUACCCGCUGAACUUAA